UACGUAGGGUGCGAGCGUUAAUCGGAAUUACUGGGCGUAAAGCGUGCGCAGGCGGUUAUAUAAGACAGUUGUGAAAUCCCCGGGCUCAACCUGGGAAUUGCAUCUGUGACUGUAUAGCUAGAGUACGGUAGAGGGGGAUGGAAUUCCGCGUGUAGCAGUGAAAUGCGUAGAUAUGCGGAGGAACACCGAUGGCGAAGGCAAUCCCCUGGGCCUGCACUGACGCUCAUGCACGAAAGCGUGGGGAGCAAACAGG
rnacentral:rRNA from 1 species